AUGGACUGCGCUGAAGCUGUCAUGAUGUUGAAUGCCAGGACGAUCGAUCGAUCGAGGGUCCGUGUGAUGGUGGAAGAGAUCAAGAGGAUGGUUGUUGAUGACCCUAGGGAGAUUUCUAUUACUGCUAUUAGUCGUUCGCAAAAUAAAGUCAGCCAUGCACUAGCUGCAUAUGGGAGGAGCACCCCUCGUACUGCAGUAUGGUUGGGCUCGGGUUUGAGUGACAUUGUAAAGCUUGUUUUGGCUGAUUUGCCUCCUUAA
rnacentral:rRNA from 1 species